GUAGCUCAGCUUGGUAGAGCGCUGGUUUUGGGAACCAGAUGUCGCAGGUUCGAAUCCUGUC
rnacentral:tRNA from 1 species